GACGAACGCUGGCGGCGUGCUUAACACAUGCAAGUCGAACGGAAAGGCCCUGCUUUUGUUGGGUGCUCGAGUGGCGAACGUGUUAGUAACACGUGAGUAACCUGCCCUUGACUUUGGGAUAACUUCAGGCAACUGGGGCUAAUACCGGAUAGGAGCUCCUGCUGCAUGGUGGGGGUUGGAAAGUUUCGGCGGUUGGGGAUGGACUCGCGGCUUAUCAGCUUGUUGGUGGGGUAGUGGCUUACCAAGGCUUUGACGGGUAGCCGGCCUGAGAGGGUGACCGGCCACAUUGGGACUGAGAUACGGCCCAGACUCCUACGGGAGGCAGCAGUGGGGAAUAUUGCACAAUGGGCGGAAGCCUGAUGCAGCAACGCCGCGUGCGGGAUGACGGCCUUCGGGUUGUAAACCGCUUUCGCCUGUGACGAAGCGUGAGUGACGGUAAUGGGUAAAGAAGCACCGGCUAACUACGUG
rnacentral:rRNA from 1 species